rnacentral:rRNA from 1 species
CGGCAACAGCUCAAAUUUGAAAUCUGGCUCUUUCAGGGUCCGAGUUGUAAUUUGUAGAGGAUGUUUCGGAUGCAGUGAUGGUUUAAAUUCCUUGGAACAGGAUGUCAUAGAGGGUGAGAAUCCCGUCUACAGCUAUCAACUAAAUCCAUGUGAAACUCCUUCGAU